GCCUCGGGGCGUGCUCUUACCUCCUGGAAGCAAGCGGAGCAGUGAGGCGCAGUUCUGGACCCCUCCGCAGAACAGAGGUGCCACUGACAUUUGGCUCCAUUCAAGCUAUAAACAUCUAACAAGCUCCAGAUGCACAAGUAGUAGAUUUAAAGCCCUGUCAAUAUGGACACUAAGGUCUGAAAUGAAACACUUGGCGUCCGAUUUGGCUAAAAUGUUAAAUUUGCAAUUUAUUGGCUCAAUAAAGCAUGAAUGCUAAGAGCCAGUUUUCAGGUUGGAGCCUCUGCACGUGUGUACGCGUGUGAACACGUAAGUGUAGGGUUUUCAAGGCAAAGUUAACAUCAUUAAAAAAAAAGCAAAAAGCAGUGUUCAAAAUAUAGCUUCAGUGGGCAGAAUCAUUUUUAAUGGGCCCCAAAUCUUAAUUGUGUUAUACAUGUAGUUACACAAAAUGUUUUCCUGUUUUGGAUGAUAAAAAAAAAAAGUCGCUGAUAAGCUGCAAUAUCAGUGAAGAGUCGUAAUGAGAGAGAGUGGAAGAAAUUGGAGCUGUCAGAAAUGCGAGCUUUCCCAGGGGCUGUGGCUUUGCCUUCCAGUGUUUUCUUCUGGAAAGACAGGUGGAAAUUCACUGCUACAGAUGACCAGCCUUGGUGGAAAGUGAAGCCUGGGAAGGUCUGGGGCUGUGGAGAGAGCCGAGGAGGCCAUAGUGAAAGUCUGGCUCAAGAUAAGACUGACAAUUAAGAACAAAACAUCUGCCUUUCCUGAUAGGCAGAAAGCAUGAAGUGACUCCUUCUUCCUCUGACACCAGUCUCGGCUAUGUCUGAUGUCUGUCCUGUGUCCGGUGUGAAAAUGGGAAGGUAGAGUAGAUACCCUUUCCUCUCUUCCUCCCACAAAGCUUAAGGAAACCUUGAUCUCAUAGACAAAAGAAACAGAACUUGAAAAAGUGAGAGGAAACUGAUAGACUAGAGGAACAAAGGGCGGUAGAUUUCCUAGGUUGUUUUAGUUUGUUUGUUUAUUGUUUUCUUGUUUUGUUUUUGUUUUUGUUUUUUUGCUUCAAACACCCCUGAUGUGAAGUGGAAGAAACUAGGUAACUAAAAAGCCAUCCAGCAUGGAACACAGGAAGAAAAAGAUGCUCCAGUUCCCUCCUGCCAAGAAGCCAGUGGAUUGGCCUUCAGAGCCAAGAACAAAGUGUGGGUCCCCACAUGGCCACCAUUCUGUGGAGACAGCACACUCAGAUCUCACAAGCCAGAACUGUCUGCCCUCCACCCCAAACAGGAUGGCAGAUUCCACUUUUCCUAACCUCCCUCCUGAAGGGCAGAUCAUCCCACACCAUGGGGGUGAAAUAAUUGUCACCGAUCCCAAAGGAUCCGAGGUCUGUGUCUGUCCUGUCUUGGAGUCUGUCUGAUGACAUGACAAGACUUAAUUUAGUUCUGGGAUAACAUUGAUAUCCAUUGCUGUCAUGAAACCCACAAAGGAAGCAGAGAAGGGGACUGGGGUCGCAGCUGGGGAGCUGAGAAGUUAGAGGGUAGGGUGCAUGCAAAGCCCCUGCCAGUUCUUAGCCAUGUCUGUUCGACAGGAUUGUGCAGUCGAAGGUUUGGGAUCAUGACUGUAAAGAAGAAUACAGACUUUAUAAUAUAUCAUCACCCACGUUUCAGAUUAUGGUUUGUCUCUGAAGUGUCCUCCAGAGUCUCUUAGUGAAAGCUGGUCUCCGAGCUGGGGGCAAUAUUUUGAGAAGCUGUAGAUCUUUAGGGGCUAAAAUAUAGCUGGCAGAUGCAGGUCCUUGGGCAAGGGGGACUCCAAAACUUACACCCAGUCUCUACUUCCGGCAGCUUCUUCCUCCUCCUGGCCCGCCACUAUGACCAGCCUCUGCCAUAUACCCCUACCGCAAGAAAUUGUCUUCACCACUAUAAGGACUGAAACCCUUUGAAACCCUGAGCCAAAAUAAAUAUUUCAUUUCGUA